rnacentral:rRNA from 1 species
GACGAACGCUGGCGGCGUGCUUAACACAUGCAAGUCGAACGGAAAGGCCCUGCUUUUGUGGGGUGCUCGAGUGGCGAACGGGUGAGUAACACGUGAGUAACCUGCCCUUGACUUUGGGAUAACUUCAGGAAACUGGGGCUAAUACCGGAUAGGAGCUCCUGCUGCAUUGUGGGGGUUGGAAAGUUUCGGCGGUUGGGGAUGGACUCGCGGCUUAUCAGCUUGUUGGUGGGGUAGUGGGUUUCCAAGGCUUUGACGGGUCGCCGGCCUGAGAGGGUGACCGGCCACAUUGGGACUGAGAUACGGCGCAGACUCCUACGGGAGGCAGCAGUGGGGAAUAUUGCACAAUGGGCGGAAGCCUGAUGCAGCAACGCCGCGUGCGGGAUGACGGCCUUCGGGUUGUAAACCGCUUUCGCCUGUGACGAAGCGUGAGUGACGGUAAUGGGUAAAGAAGCACCGGCUAACUACGUG